UGCCACCAUCUUGGAGCUCAGUGCCC
rnacentral:piRNA from 1 species